UACAGAGGGGGCAAGCGUUGUUCGGAAUUACUGGGCGUAAAGGGCGCGUAGGCGGCCUUCUAAGUCGAACGUGAAAUCCCCGGGCUCAACCCGGGAACUGCGUCCGAUACUGGAAGGCUUGAAUCCGGGAGAGGGAUGCGGAAUUCCUGGUGUAGCGGUGAAAUGCGUAGAUAUCAGGAAGAACACCGGUGGCGAAGGCGGCAUCCUGGACCAAUUCUGACGCUGAGGAGCGAAAGCCAGGGGAGCAAACGGG
rnacentral:rRNA from 1 species